rnacentral:rRNA from 1 species
GAAUGCUGACAUAAGUAACGAUAAAGCGGGUGAAAAGCCCGCUCGCCGGAAGACCAAGGGUUCCUGUCCAACGUUAAUCGGGGCAGGGUGAGUCGACCCCUAAGGCGAGGCCGAAAGGCGUAGUCGAUGGGAAACAGGUUAAUAUUCCUGUACUUGGUGUUACUGCGAAGGGGGGACGGAGAAGGCUAUGUCAGCCGGGCGACGGUUGUCCCGGUUUAAGCAUGUAGGCGGAGGUUCCAGGUAAAUCCGGUACCUUAUUAACGCUGAGGUGUGAUGACGAGGCACUACGGUGCUGAAGUGAUAAAUGCCCUGCUUCCAGGAAAAGCCUCUAAGCAUCAGGUAACACGAAAUCGUACCCCAAACCGACACAGGUGGUCAGGUAGAGAAUACCAAGGCGCUUGAGAGAACUCGGGUGAAGGAACUAGGCAAAAUGGUGCCGUAACUUCGGGAGAAGGCACGCUGAUAUGUAGGUGAAGUCCCUGCGGACGGAGCUGAAAUCAGUCGAAGAUACCAGCUGGCUGCAACUGUUUAUUAAAAACACAGCACUGUGCAAACACGAAAGUGGACGUAUACGGUGUGACGCCUGCCCGGUGCCGGAAGGUUAAUUGAUGGGGU